rnacentral:rRNA from 1 species
AACGAACGCUGGCGGCAGGCUUAACACAUGCAAGUCGAACGCCCCGCAAGGGGAGUGGCAGACGGGUGAGUAACGCGUGGGAAUCUACCCAUCCCUACGGAACAACUCCGGGAAAAUGGAGCUAAUACCGUAUACGCCCUUUGGGGGAAAGAUGUAUCGGGGAUGAAUGAGCCCGCGUUGGAUUAGCUAGUUGGUGGGGUAAAGGCCUACCAAGGCGACGAUCCAUAGCUGGUCUGAGAGGAUGAUCAGCCACAUUGGGACUGAGACACGGACCGGACUGCUUCGGGAGGCAGCGGUGUGGAGUAUUGGACAAUGGGCGCAAGCCGGAUCCAGCCAUGCGGCGGGAGUGAUGAAGGCCUUAGGGUUGUAAAGCUCUUUCACCGAUGAAGAUAAUGACGGUAGUCGGAGAAGAAGCCCCGGCUAACUUCGUGCCAGCCGCCGCCGUAAGAC